UGCAGUAGCCCGCGGUUUAGAUUAUUUCUAAUUCUUUUCUUUAAUAGAUAGCUAUGGUAGGAUAAUGUUUAAUUUAUGAUAACCACGCUCAUAUUCUACAUAUCGUCUCAAUAGGAAGCAGCUGUGGAGCUGUUUAGCAUGGCGUCUGAACUUUUCAGAGCAUCUCAAGGUACAAGAAUACCAACACUGGAAGCAUUAAAUGAAGUCGUAGCACAAACAGUUUCCCGUCUGUUCCAAAUACUGCCGAGUGGAUAUCUGCCCGAUCUGGACACUUCUGUGGAUCUUUUUGAAAUGGAUGUCAUCGAUGUCAACUCGAUAGACUUUUCCCCUAAACAGCAGCUGAAGACCUUAAAAGAUCAGCAAUUGAAAUUUCAUCAACAGCUUCGUAAAGCUGGCUUAUCCUUGACGAACGCAAUUAACAGCGCAGCAGAUGCUUUACUGGCCAUUUUGCCAGAUUCUGAGGACUACAAUACUGCAUUUGAAGGUGACAGUGUCACCGUAGUAGUUGCAAGGUUCCCUGCUAGUGACAAUGUGAUAGUUCGUGGAGGUCUGGUCAAUGCGUCAUUUUCUUUCGCAAGCUGUUCGCCGAAUGGCAGCGUAGACGCUACGGUUUGUGAUUCACUUGAAGUUAUAUUUUCUCUGUUUGUUUUUCUGGACUUGCUGCUAUUUAUUUGUAUUUUUGCGGAUUAUUUUGUUUCUCAUAGAAAUUUAAAAAUCACUGAUCAGAUCUAAACACUGAAUGGCGUCAUUCAAGAAUGAAAAAAACUACAUGUUAAAAUUACUAACAAUCGCCAAUGCAACACAAUGCAAAUA